rnacentral:rRNA from 1 species
AAUGAACGCUGGCGGCAGGCCUAACACAUGCAAGUCGAGGGGUAACUAGAGUGAUAGCAAUAUUACUUUGGCUAGACCGGCGCACGGGUGCGUAACACGUAUGCAACCUACCUUAUACUGGGGAAUAACUUCGAGAAAUCGGCGCUAAUACCCCAUAACACUGCGGAGAGGCAUCUCUUUGCAGUUAAAGCUCCGGCGGUAUAAGAUGGGCAUGCGUCCAAUUAGCUAGUUGGUGAGGUAACGGCUCACCAAGGCUACGAUUGGUAGGGGUUCUGCGAGGAUGAUCCCCCCACCUGGUACUGAGACACGAACCAGAGUCCUACGGGAGGCAGCAGUGAGGAAUAUUGCGCAAUGGACGAAAGUCUGACGCCGCCAUGCCGCGUGCAGGAUGACGGCCCUAUGGGUUGUAAACUGCUUUUGUACGGGAAUAAACCCUUCUCCGUGUAGGAGGCUGAAGGUACCGUAAGAAUAAGCACCGGCUAACUCCGUGCCAGCCGCCGCCGUAA